UUUGAUGAGGCGCAUCAAUCAUUAGUAAGAAAUAGAGUACUGUCUGCUAACAGCUAUUUCUGAAAGGGUGCGAUGCCGAAAUAAUGCAACUAGCAGGUUCGCUUUAUUGGACUUUAUGGUUAAAAGCCAAAAGUUUGUCAUUAUUUUUUAAUAAUGGAGUGCAUC
rnacentral:ncRNA from 1 species